CUCAUCCAGAGCAGUGGAGGGAAUGGCCCUGUGAAGCUGCGGCAACCAUUGACCUAGUCAAAACGGUGCCAAUUCCUUUAGGCAUAAGCCUAUAAGAUGAGA
rnacentral:ncRNA from 1 species